AUUGAACGCUGGCGGCAUGCCUUACACAUGCAAGUCGAACGGCAGCACGGGUGCUUGCACCUGGUGGCGAGUGGCGAACGGGUGAGUAAUACAUCGGAACAUGUCCUGUAGUGGGGGAUAGCCCGGCGAAAGCCGGAUUAAUACCGCAUACGAUCUACGGAUGAAAGCGGGGGACCUUCGGGCCUCGCGCUAUAGGGUUGGCCGAUAGCUGAUUAGCUAGUUGGUGGGGUAAAGGCCUACCAAGGCGACGAUCAGUAGCUGGUCUGAGAGGACGACCAGCCACACUGGGACUGAGACACGGCCCAGACUCCUACGGGAGGCAGCAGUGGGGAAUUUUGGACAAUGGGCGAAAGCCUGAUCCAGCAAUGCCGCGUGUGUGAAGGCCUUCGGGUUGUAAAGCACUUUUGUCCGGAAAGAAAUCCUUGGCUCUAAUACAGUCGGGGGAUGACGGUACCGGAAGAAUAAGCACCGGCUAACUACGUG
rnacentral:rRNA from 1 species